GCGGCGUCGCCUGAAGGGGCGCGGGGCGGGGCCUGGGCCUCCAUCAUUUCCAUCCCAAAGUGUUACAGAGAUAAGCAGAUUACAAUGCAAAGGAAAGCAAAGAUCUAACUUCAGUGCCAGUGUAAUGGAAGAGAAGAUACUUGGAGGACGGUACAGAAAAGGACAGGACUGAAUCCUGAAAAAUCCCAGCUUCAAUUGGCAGUAUUUCAAGUAACGCUGAUUAUAUGACUACAAAAAUAAUUAGACCUGAAUAAUUUGGUUUAUAUUUCUUGGGUUCUGCUUAGUAGUGACUGCUCAGCAACACAAAGUACAUUGAGCUGGUUUAUCAGAAAUAAACAUUAUGCACAAUCCAUUAA